GGAAAUACGGAUAGGGAUCAGGGAUUGGUCUUUGGAAGGUGGAUUUGUAAGUAAUUAUUUUUAUAGAAUUAAUAAGUGAAGGGUGGAAUAACAUGUGUACAUAUUGCCCGUCGCUCUCGUUAUUUUUGAGAUAAGUCGUAACAUAGUUGAUGAACUGGAAAGUGUAUCUUUUUGA
rnacentral:rRNA from 1 species